rnacentral:rRNA from 1 species
CACAUGCAAGUCGAGGGGCAGCGGAGAGGUAGCAAUACCUUUGCCGGCGACCGGCGCACGGGUGAGUAACACGUAUGCAAUCCACCUGUAACAGGGGGAUAACCCGGAGAAAUCCGGACUAAUACCCCAUAAUAUGGGCGCUCCGCAUGGAGAGCCCAUUAAAGAGAGCAAUUUUGGUUACAGACGAGCAUGCGCUCCAUUAGCCAGUUGGCGGGGUAACGGCCCACCAAGGCGACGAUGGAUAGGGGUUCUGAGAGGAAGGUCCCCCACAUUGGAACUGAGACACGGUCCAAACUCCUACGGGAGGCAGCAGUGAGGAAUAUUGGUCAAUGGUCGGCAGACUGAACCAGCCAAGUCGCGUGAGGGAAGACGGCCCUACGGGUUGUAAACCUCUUUUGUCGGAGAGUAAAGUACGCUACGCGUAGCGUAUUGCAAGUAUCCGAAGAAAAAGCAUCGGCUAACUCCGUGCCAGCAGCCGCGGUAAUACGGAGGAUGCGAGCGUUAUCCGGAUUUAUUGGGUUUAAAGGGUGCGUAGGCGGCACGCCAAGUCAGCGGUGAAAUUUCCGGGCUCAACCCGGAGUGUGCCGUUGAAACUGGCGAGCUAGAGUGCACAAGAGGCAGGCGGAAUGCGUGGUGUAGCGGUGAAAUGCAUAGAUAUCACGCAGAACCCCGAUUGCGAAGGCAGCCUGCUAGGGUGCGACAGACGCUGAGGCACGAAAGCGUGGGUAUCGAACAGGAUUAGAUACCCUGGUAGUCCACGCAGUAAACGAUGAAUACUAACUGUUUGCGAUA